rnacentral:rRNA from 1 species
CAGUAGUCACGAGUUUGAUCCUGGCUCAGAUUGAACGCUGGCGGCAUGCCUAACACAUGCAAGUCGAACGAGACCUUCGGGUCUAGUGGCGCACGGGUGCGUAACGCGUGGGAAUUUGCCUCGGGUACGGAAUAACUCAGGGAAACUUGAGCUAAUACCAUAUAAUGUCUUCGGACCAAAGAUUUAUCGCCCUGAGAUAAGCCCGCGUAGGAUUAGCUAGUUGGUGGGGUAAAGGCUCACCAAGGCGACGAUCCUUAGCUGGUCUGAGAGGAUGAUCAGCCACACUGGGACUGAGACACGGCCCAGACUCCUACGGGAGGCAGCAGUGGGGAAUAUUGGACAAUGGGCGAAAGCCUGAUCCAGCAAUGCCGCGUGAGUGAUGAAGGCCUUCGGGUUGUAAAGCUCUUUUACUCGGGACGAUAAUGACGGUACCGAGAGAAUAAGCCCCGGCUAACUCCGUG